rnacentral:sRNA from 1 species
ACCGAUGGCAACUUUCAAAUAAUUGGAUGUUAGAAAUGGAACUCUCAAAAGAUUUCCUCCUCCCCACAAAUGUACCCUUUGCCUAGGAUGGGAGGCUGUCACCUGGAGUAGCAACCCAAGGCCCUCGACCGCAGGGGUCCUGGCAAGCCUUGCCUUUGUGCAUCUGCUCUGGGAGCCAGAGAAGUUGAAAGCGGCCUCACUCGAGAUUUUUGAAGAGGUUGAAUUUCCCGACAGUCCUGGAUAAAAGAAACGGCAGGAAGUCUGACUGUCAGGGGGAGCCCCUUCUGGGUCUGUAUUUAUAUAUCCCUAGGAAUCCUCUCCUGCGGGCUCUUAAAUGGCAAAGCACCCCUGAGUCCUGCAAUUACUGCCUUCCCACCCCCAAGCUGAAAAACCUGAUUUUCUUCAGGAGAAGAGAAACCUCAUCCCGGGAGCGGAAUUUGUGAAGAAAAUGUGAGUGGGAAACAUGAAGAGUGAUGAAAUGAACAAGUUGAGUGACUCCCACCCUGUUGAAGAGAUUGAACUUCAUCCCCAGUUCCUGUGAAGCUUUCUGGCUCUCAUCUUCCAAGGUGAAGUGGAGGUUCUGGAUCCGAACGACCCUUUAGGACCCCUUGAUGGGCAGGACGGCCCGAUUCCAACUCUGAAAGGUUACUUUCUGAAUUUUCUGGAGCCAGUAAACAAUAUCACCAUUGUCCAAGGCCAGACGGCAAUUCUGCACUGCAAGGUGGCAGGAAACCCACCCCCUAACGUGCGGUGGCUAAAGAAUGAUGCCCCGGUGGUGCAGGAGCCGCGGCGGAUCAUCAUCCGGAAGACAGAAUAUGGUUCACGACUGCGAAUCCAGGACCUGGACACGACAGACACUGGCUACUACCAGUGCGUGGCCACCAAUGGGAUGAAGACCAUUACCGCCACUGGCGUUCUGUUUGUGCGGCUGGGUCCAACGCACAGCCCAAAUCAUAACUUUCAGGAUGAUUACCACGAGGAUGGGUUCUGCCAGCCUUACCGGGGAAUUGCCUGUGCACGCUUCAUUGGCAACCGGACCAUUUAUGUGGACUCGCUCCAGAUGCAGGGGGAGAUUGAAAACCGAAUCACAGCGGCCUUCACCAUGAUCGGCACCUCUACGCACCUGUCGGACCAGUGCUCACAGUUCGCCAUCCCAUCCUUCUGCCACUUCGUGUUUCCUCUGUGCGACGCGCGCUCCCGGGCACCCAAGCCGCGUGAGCUGUGCCGCGACGAGUGCGAGGUGCUGGAGAGCGACCUGUGCCGCCAGGAGUACACCAUCGCCCGCUCCAACCCGCUCAUCCUCAUGCGGCUUCAGCUGCCCAAGUGUGAGGCGCUGCCCAUGCCCGAGAGCCCCGAUGCUGCCAACUGCAUGCGCAUUGGCAUCCCAGCCGAGAGGCUGGGCCGCUACCAUCAGUGCUAUAACGGCUCAGGCAUGGAUUACAGAGGAACGGCAAGCACCACCAAGUCAGGCCACCAGUGCCAGCCGUGGGCCCUGCAGCACCCCCACAGCCACCACCUGUCCAGCACAGACUUCCCUGAGCUUGGAGGGGGGCACGCCUACUGCCGGAACCCUGGAGGCCAGAUGGAGGGCCCCUGGUGCUUUACGCAGAAUAAAAACGUACGCAUGGAACUGUGUGACGUACCCUCGUGUAGUCCCCGAGACAGCAGCAAGAUGGGGAUUCUGUACAUCUUGGUCCCCAGCAUCGCAAUUCCACUGGUCAUCGCUUGCCUUUUCUUCUUGGUUUGCAUGUGCCGGAAUAAGCAGAAGGCAUCUGCGUCCACACCGCAGCGGCGACAGCUGAUGGCCUCGCCCAGCCAAGACAUGGAAAUGCCCCUCAUUAACCAGCACAAACAGGCCAAACUCAAAGAGAUCAGCCUGUCUGCGGUGAGGUUCAUGGAGGAGCUGGGAGAGGACCGGUUUGGGAAAGUCUACAAAGGCCACCUGUUCGGCCCUGCCCCGGGGGAGCAGACCCAGGCUGUGGCCAUCAAAACGCUGAAGGACAAAGCAGAGGGGCCCCUGCGGGAGGAGUUCCGGCACGAGGCUAUGCUGCGAGCACGGCUGCAACACCCCAACAUCGUCUGCCUGCUGGGCAUGGUGACCAAGGACCAGCCCCUGAGCAUGAUUUUCAGCUACUGUUCACACGGCGACCUCCACGAAUUCCUGGUCAUGCGCUCGCCGCAUUCGGACGUGGGCAGCACCGACGAUGACCGCACGGUGAAGUCCGCCCUGGAGCCCCCCGACUUCGUGCACCUCGUGGCACAGAUCGCGGCGGGGAUGGAGUAUCUAUCCAGCCACCACGUGGUUCACAAGGAUCUGGCCACCCGCAACGUGCUAGUGUACGACAAGCUGAACGUGAAGAUCUCAGACUUGGGCCUCUUCCGAGAGGUGUAUGCCGCCGAUUACUACAAGCUGCUGGGGAACUCGCUGCUGCCCAUCCGCUGGAUGGCCCCGGAGGCCAUCAUGUACGGCAAGUUCUCCAUUGACUCGGACAUCUGGUCCUACGGUGUGGUCCUGUGGGAGGUCUUUAGCUAUGGCCUGCAGCCCUACUGCGGGUACUCCAACCAGGACGUGGUGGAGAUGAUCCGGAACCGGCAGGUGCUGCCUUGCCCCGAUGACUGUCCUGCCUGGGUGUACGCCCUCAUGAUCGAGUGCUGGAACGAGUUCCCCAGCCGGCGGCCCCGCUUCAAGGACAUCCACAGCCGGCUCCGAGCCUGGGGCAACCUUUCCAACUACAACAGCUCGGCGCAGACCUCGGGGGCCAGCAACACCACGCAGACCAGCUCCCUGAGCACCAGCCCAGUGAGCAAUGUGAGCAACGCCCGCUACGUGGGGCCCAAGCAGAAGGCCCCGCCCUUCCCACAGCCCCAGUUCAUCCCCAUGAAGGGCCAGAUCAGACCCCUGGUGCCCCCGCCGCAGCUCUACAUCCCCGUCAACGGCUACCAGCCGGUGCCGGCCUAUGGGGCCUACCUGCCCAACUUCUACCCUGUGCAGAUCCCAAUGCAGAUGGCCCCACAGCAGGUGCCUCCUCAGAUGGUCCCCAAGCCCAGCUCACACCACAGUGGCAGUGGCUCCACCAGCACAGGCUAUGUCACCACGGCCCCUUCCAACACAUCCGUGGCAGACAGGGCAGCCCUGCUCUCAGAGGGCACCGAUGACACACACAACGCCCCAGAAGACGGGGCCCAGAGCCCCGUGCAGGAAGCAGAGGAGGAGGAGGAAGGCUCUGUCCCAGAGACUGAGCUGCUGGGGGACUGUGACACUCUGCAGGUGGACGAGGCCCAAGUCCAGCUGGAAGCUUGAGUGGCACCAGGGCCCGGGGUUCGGGGAUGGAAGCCCUGCCGAGACCCCACAGGUACCUCAGUCGCCUUUGAGAAGACACCAUACCCAGCAAUCACAAGAGCCCGCCGGCCAGUGGGCUUGUUUGCAGACUGGGUGAGGUGGAGCCCUGCUCCUCUCUGUCCUCUGACACAGAGAGCUGCCCUGCCUAGGAGCACCCGAGCCAGGCAGGGGGCCUGGCAGCACGGCAUCCUGGGGAGCAGGACACAUGGUCAUCCCCUGGGCUAUCUACAUUGAUUCUGGUGGUAGACUAGUAGUGAGCAGCAAAUGCCUUUCAAGAAAAUAGGUGGCAGCUUCACUCCGUGUCAUACAUGGAGUGAAUAUUUUAAAACGUUGGGAAUAAGGGCCUGCAAAAGGCAGCAAGGAGGCACCUAAGGUCUUGAGGUUCCUGACAGCCGAUCUGGUCUGUUGGUUUGAGGAUGAAGGGGCUCCAUUUCUGCUGCCUCCCUGCCGAGAAUAUUCUCCCUUUAGCAGCCAAAGAUUUGCUGGAACGGAGGCUGCCCUCUGCUGCCUGUUGGGGUUGGAAGACAAGGGGCUCCUGAAAUGGGAGUUCCUGAGAUAAAACAAAAUGUGUGCCUUCAAAGAAACUGACAGCUUUGUAUUUGGUGAAAUGGUUUUAAUUAUACUGCAUGUGUAUUUUGCCCACUUUUUGGAAAUUCAAGGGAAAGUGUUUCUUGGGUUUGGAAUGUUCAGAGGAAGCAAUAUUGUACAGAACACGGUAUUGUUAUUUUUGUUAAGAAUCAUGUACAGACCUUAAAUGUAAUUUAUAUGUUUUUAAUAUGCCAUUUCCAUUGAAGUAUUUUGGUCUUAAGAUAAUGACUUUAGUAAUUUAACUGUUUAUGUUACCCACGUUGGGAUCCAGUUGGUCUUGGUUUGCUUGUCUCUGUACCACCUGCACAUGAGGUCCAUUCAUUUUAGAGCCCCUGUUACACACAGACCCACAGGCAGCCGUCUGUGCCCCGCACGCAUUGUUGGUCCUAUUUGUAAAUCCCACACCCGGUGUAUCCAAUAAAGUGAAACAAAGC